rnacentral:rRNA from 1 species
UGGGGAAUUUUGCACAAUGGACGAAAGUCUGAUGCAGCAACGCCGCGUGAAGGAUGACGGCCUUCGGGUUGUAAACUUCUUUUUUUGGGGACGAUUGUGACGGUACCCAACGAAUAAGCAUCGGCUAACUACGUGCCAGCAGCCGCGGUAAGACGUAGGAUGCAAGCGUUGUCCGGAUUUAUUGGGCGUAAAGAGCUCGUAGGUGGUUUAUGAAGUCUUUUUUGAAAGCCCGUGGCUCAACUACGGAAACAAAAAAGAUACUCAUAAGCUUGAGGGUAGCAGGGGUGAAUGGAAUUCUCGGUGUAGGGGUGAAAUCCGUUGAUAUCGAGAAGAACACCAGUGGCGAAGGCGGUUCACUAGGCUACAUCUGACACUGAGGAGCGAAAGCGUGGGGAGCGAA